UCACCACAAGCAAAGUUGGUGUUU
rnacentral:siRNA from 1 species